GCUUGUCUCAAAGAUUAAGCCAUGCAUGUCUAAGUAUAAAUGGUAUACAGUGAAACUGCGAAUGGCUCAUUAAAACAGUUAUAGUUUAUUUGGUAUUCGAAUUUACAUGGAUAACCGUGGUAAUUCUAGAGCUAAUACAUGCAUUACGCCUGACUUUUCGGAAGGGCAGUAUUUAUUAGAUAACAGACCAAUAUUCCUCGUGUCUAUUGUGGUGAAUCAUAGUAACUAAUCGGAUCGCAUGGGCUAGUCCCGCGACAAACCAUUCAAGUUUCUGCCCCAUCAGCUUUCGAUGGUAGUGUAUUGGACUACCAUGGCUUUUACGGGUAACGGAGGAUUAGGGUUCGAUUCCGGAGAGGGAGCCUGAGAAACGGCUACCACAUCUAAGGAAGGCAGCAGG
rnacentral:rRNA from 1 species